GAUGAACGCUGGCGGCGUGCUUAACACAUGCAAGUCGAACGGAAAGGCUCCUGCUUGCAGGGGUACUCGAGUGGCGAACGGGUGAGUAACACGUGGGUGAUCUGCCCUGCACUUCGGGAUAAGCCUGGGAAACUGGGUCUAAUACCGGAUAGGACGAUGGUUUGGAUGCCAUUGUGGAAAGUUUUUUCGGUGUGGGAUGAGCUCGCGGCCUAUCAGCUUGUUGGUGGGGUAAUGGCCUACCAAGGCGUCGACGGGUAGCCGGCCUGAGAGGGUGUACGGCCACAUUGGGACUGAGAUACGGCCCAGACUCCUACGGGAGGCAGCAGUGGGGAAUAUUGCACAAUGGGCGCAAGCCUGAUGCAGCGACGCCGCGUGGGGGAUGACGGCCUUCGGGUUGUAAACUCCUUUCGCUAGGGACGAAGCGCAAGUGACGGUACCUGGAGAAGAAGCACCGGCUAACUAC
rnacentral:rRNA from 1 species